AUUGAACGCUGGCGGCAUGCCUUACACAUGCAAGUCGAACGGUAACAGGUCUUCGGAUGCUGACGAGUGGCGAACGGGUGAGUAAUACAUCGGAACGUGCCUAGUAGUGGGGGAUAACUACUCGAAAGAGUGGCUAAUACCGCCUGAGAUCUACGGAUGAAAGCAGGGGAUCGCAAGACCUUGUGCUACUAGCGCGGCCGAUGGCAGACUAGGUAGUUGGUGGGAUAAAAGCUUACCAAGCCGACGAUCUGUAGCUGGUCUGAGAGGACGAUCAGCCACACUGGGACUGAGACACGGCCAAGACUCCUACGGGAGGCAGCAGUGGGGAAUUUUGGACAAUGGGCGCAAGCCUGAUCCAGCAAUGCCGCGUGCAGGAUGAAGGCCUUCGGGUUGUAAACUGCUUUUGUACGGAACGAAAAGCCCCGGGUUAAUACCCUGGGGUCAUGACGGUACCGUAAGAAUAAGCACCGGCUAACUACGUGCCAGCAGCCGCCGCCG
rnacentral:rRNA from 1 species